UACGUAGGGACCAAGCGUUGUUCGGAUUUACUGGGCGUAAAGGGCGCGUAGGCGGCGCGGUAAGUCACUUGUGAAAUCUCUGAGCUUAACUCAGAACGGCCAAGUGAUACUGCAGUGCUAGAGUGUGGAAGGGGCAAUCGGAAUUCUUGGUGUAGCGGUGAAAUGCGUAGAUAUCGGGAGGAACACCAGUGGCGAAGGCGGCGAUCUGGGAAGAUACUGACGCUGAGGUGCGAAAGCGUGGGGAGCAAACAGG
rnacentral:rRNA from 1 species